GUGAAGGUCCUAGCGCUCCAGUACUCGCGAGCCUGACUCAGUGUGUGGACAUCACUGUUCCAGCGGAGCACCGCGCCACGCCGCGCUGUUGCUAGAUUGUCCAUUAAACGGCAGUUGAUCAUCUAUAACACUUUGAAGCCAUCAUCAGUUCACAGAAUGUCACUGUCUGAACAGCCCUAUUGCAGUAAGGCUCUAUCCCACAAGCUGAGGUGACAGCUGACUGGCUGGGGUGGUUUCAUCUCUUCCACGACAAAUGUGCGCUGCGGAUGAACCCAAAACAUGUGCCUCAAUAGACUGCACCACAAAGUGUUCAGGAAGCCCAAGGAGGGAAAAUGGUGACAUCGUUGCGAGAGAGGCCAGUGAGUUGUUCCGGGAGUGUUCAGUGGAUGUGCGCGGUUGGCAAGACUGUUGUUUAUUUUGCCCUUGUAAAUAUCUUCGUUAGUGACCCUACACUCGCGAACAGACCACCGAAAUUUCUCAUAGACGGACAAACAGAAAUAGUGUUGAGACUGAAGGAAGGUGCAGAUACCCCUGCAGGAAGCCUGAUAUACAGACUACGAGGUGUUGACCCCGAUGGGGACACAUUGACAUUUGGAGUCAGGGAACAAAUCGGACAUGAUGUUUUGAGGAUUGAAACUAUUGGUGUCAACGAAGCAAAUGUCUAUCUGAAAAAAGAAUUGGACAGAGAGGUGCGUGACGAGUAUGCUCUGGUGUUGACACUGACCGAUGGACACCUGGGAGAUGGAAACUUCAUCACCCAAAGUCUACUGCUAUUGGUGGAAGAUGUCAACGACAACGAGCCCAUCUUCAAGCCCUACCAGAGCUCACUGGUGGUCUUGGAGGACAGUGGGCCUGGAAUUCUUACCACCGUUGAGGCCACUGAUUCAGAUGAAGGACCCUAUGGCCAGGUUGUCUACAGUCUACAGGAGUUGGAUGGAGAGACCGAUUUGUUCUCUGUCUCAACUAUCAAUGGGAAAGGAGUGAUUCGUUUAGUUGGUCGUUUAGAUUACGAGAAGAAGUUUCUCUACCAACUGAGAGUACUUGCUACAGACAGAUCCAACAACGAAAGGAUAAACACUGCAACUGCCGCAAUCCUGGUGAAAGUACAAGAUGUGGAGGAUCAGCCACCAGAAUUUGUUGUGGUUUCUCCAGUCACUCGAGUCAGUGAAGAUGCUCCAGUUGGAACUUCUGUCCUUCAAGUGAGAGCAGUUGACGGAGAUAGGGGUGUCAAUAACCGGAUACUCUACUCAGUUACUAAAGGCGGUGAGGGAGUUUUUGACAUCGAUGCACACUCAGGCUUUCUCUAUACUACAACGAAGCUGGACAGAGAAUCCACAACAAAUAGCAAUGGCGCUUAUAUUAUUGAAAUCAUGGCUCAAGAGGAGUCAAGAGCUGUGUAUCCCGCACCUUCAGUGCGGACUGAAGUUACCAUUAUAUUAAUGGAUGUUAACGACGAGACUCCGACUUUUAGAAGUAAAAUGUAUGCUUGUGAAGUGAAUGAAAAUGCUCCUGCCAAUACACCAUUAACGUUUCUGGGACAUGUUGUCCCACAAGUCUAUGAUUUCGAUCAGGGUAACAAUGGAACUUUUGAUAUGCUGAUAGAAGAUGAUGAAGGAAUUUUUGAAGUAACUCCUCGUCAAGGUAUCAACGAAGCUUCGUUUUUAAUCAGAGUCAAGGAUUCAUCAAGGAUCGACUUCGAGAAAAUGUCUGUGAUAAACUUCACCCUAGUUGCCAAGGAAACUGUUGAAGAAAGCCCCAAGUCAAGCAGAGUGCCUGUUACUGUGUUUAUUCGAGACAUGAAUGAUAAUUUUCCAGAAUUCACAAAACCAAUCUACGAGGUGUGGCUGCCAGAGAACUCCAGAGUGGGUACAGUGGUGGUCAAAGUGCAGGCUCAUGAUCCUGACUCUGGUGAUUUGGGUACCAAAGGGAUAAGAUAUACCAACCUUGGAGGAAGUGUAGCAGACUUAUUGUCCCUGGACCCCAUCAGUGGGGUGAUAACCAUAAAGGAAGAGAGUCCUGCGUUUGACCGGGAACUGGUGUCUAGACACUAUCUCACCAUCGAGGCCAGAGACAAUAGAGGCCAAGGAAACAGGAAUUCUGUACAACUCAUCCUAAACAUUGAAGAUGUGAAUGACAACACACCACAGUUUGUCCACAACAAGUACGAAGCCCGGCUACUCGAGAACCAGUCAGACUUUGAUUCUCCUCUGAUUGUGGAAGCGAGGGACUUAGAUCUCAAUGGAACUAUGAACAGCCAGGUGCAUUACAGUAUAGUAGAGUGGGAUGCCUCGAUCACCAAUUUCACAGUAGACCCGACACUGGGAUUGGUCCGACCCUCGUCACAUAUCGACUUUGAGACGUUGGCUAGGAUCCAGGGUGGGCCACCAGAUGUCGGGGUUAGGACUCUUCGCCUUAUCCUCAGGGCUCAUGACCUUGGCUCACCCUCCCUAUAUGCAGAGGUCCCACUCCUGGUGUACGUUCAGGACAUCAAUGACAACCAGCCCUACUUCGAGCACGAGGUCUAUGAGCAGACUAUUCCAGAGGACCUGAGAGGUGGCAGCACUGUCUUGCAGGUGAAAGCCACAGAUGAAGAUGCUUCUGCCCCAAACAACCAAGUGGUCUACAGGAUACAGUCAGGAGCUGGGGACAAGUUUGUGAUAGAUCCAACAUCUGGGAUACUGAGUGUGGCGAACGGAGCGAGUCUGGACCCUGACGGCACAGAGCCCCGGACCACUCAUUAUAGCAUGGUGGUAGUCGCCUUGGAUGGAGGUAUAGGCGGGAACCAAAUGACGGCAACUACACAGGUGCAGAUAGACAUACAAGAUGUCAACAACAAACUUCCAGUUUUGGUUGAUCCAGGGACUGUCAGAGUGCUGGAAAACACCAAGGUUGGACAGUUUGUACACAGAGUGGUGGCUACUGAUCCUGAUGAAAAAUCAUCGCUAAGGUUCUCAAUAGACCGGGACAACUGUGAGGCCAGAAGUGAAGAAGGGACUAUCAUAAAACCAUCUGAGUUUGACUUUCUCUCUGCCUUCGAACUGAAUGCUGUCGACGGACUGUUGCGAGUGGUGAGACUCCUGGAUCGAGAGAGAGUCGAAGUGAUUCGGUUAGCCAUCAGGGUGGAAGACACGGCAUCCGUCAGCGGGAAACAGAUCACUUCAGGUGUAUUGACCAUUAUUGUUGAGGAUGAAAAUGACAACAACCCAAUGUUCAGGAAGCCCUUUUAUCGAAGAUUCAUCACUGAAAACAGCCAGUUAGGAGUGUUGAUUGUCAAUGUGGUAGCAGAUGACGCAGACAAGAACCGGACUAUUACUUACUCAUUGGAAGGUUCUGCAAAGAUGACAGAACUUGUUCAUCUGGACCAGCAAACAGGGGAGAUGGUAGUUGCGAACAGAAUCGAUCACGAGCAGACUCCAUGGCUCAACAUGACUGUGAGAGCUACUGACUCAGGAAUUCCUCCUCGCUCGGCAUUGGUGGAUGUGUUUGUACAAGUUAUAGAUGAGAACGACAACAAUCCCUACUUUGUUGGAAACAUCACAAAUGUCACGCUGAGGGAAGACACGCCUAUUGGUGCUGAGGUGACAGUCAUUGAAGCCAGUGAUGCUGAUUCCGGUGAUUAUGGCAAAAUCACAUUUCUCCUUGAUCGGAUAUCAUCUUUGGGUAAAUUCCAAAUCAACCCUGAGACUGGGAUGCUGAACGUGUCCGAUAGGCUGGACCGAGAGCAGCAGUCAUCUUAUAUGCUGAUAGUGGAGGCCUGGGAUAACUAUCAGUUUGGAUACUCCAGUGGGGAGAGUAGAAAUGCCUUCAAACAAAUAGGAGUGACCAUACUGGAUGUCAACGAUGAACCUCCUGUGAUGAACCCUCUGCCGGAGUCUUGUGUCAUGGUAACAGAGUUUCUGGAACCAGGGGAGACUGUCUACACUCUCAAGGCAUCUGAUGCCGAUGACCCCAACACUCCCAAUGGCUGGGUCUCAUUCUCCAUUCUUGCAGGGAACGAUCAAGAAUUGUUUGAAAUAGAACCACUGGAUCAUUGGACAGCCAGGCUAUAUGCUCAAAGUUCACUGAAAGCAAAAUAUGGGAAUUACACUUUGGCUAUAAAUGUUCAAGAUUUAGGUGCACCUCCCAACUUUGUUGUUGGCAACCUAAACAUUUGUGUGACAGACUUCAAUGACAACGCUCCUCAGUUCAUCAGUCCUCCCCAGAACAUUACAAUCCGCAUUCCAGAGAAUGCAACAGUUGGAAGUCCUGUGAUAACUGUGACUGCCAUUGACGCUGAUGUGGGUCCUAAUGCUGCUGUCCGUUACCGCCUCAAGCAAGACAAUACUGGAGACUGGAGCACUUUCAGUGUUGAUCAGGACUCUGGCCUCGUCUCUCUCAGGUUACCUCUGGACAGGGAGACCCAGAAACUCUAUCAGAUUCGUGUGGAAGCCUAUGACCAUGGGACCCCUACUCCCUUGUCAUCAGAUCUUGAUCUGACAAUUUAUGUGAAAAAUGUGAACGAUUACCAGCCUCAGUUUUUGAUCGAAGACUUCCCAGUGAACUUUACAGAACAUAUUGCUCCUGGCAAAGAAAGGCGACUCCUGCCGGAAACUGUGGACAGAGAUGAAGUUGAUGAUCUAGAUGACCCAAGAACUCCGGUCUGUUACUUCAUUGUUGCUGGGAAUGAUGAGGGCUUCUUCAACAUUGAGCCGCUUUCCCAUGAAAUCACUGUGGCUCAAGAACUUGACAGGGAAGAAGCUGAGAUGCAUUUGAUCAUGGUGAAAGCCAGUGAAGAUUGUGUCACUCCCCCACAGACCAACAAUAGCUACUUGGAUUACAAAGACAGUACAGUGCUCAGGGUGGUCAUUUUUGUCAAUGACAUCAACGAUAACGCCCCUCAGUUCGUCAAGGAGGUGUUCACUGGAGGAGUAACCACUGAUGCGGAUUUUGGCAGUGAAUUUAUGCAAGUUCGAGCAAUAGAUGCAGAUUUCGGCCGAAAUGCAGAAAUACAAUACUAUAUGAUUGGCCAAACUCAGAUGACCUUGAGCGAAGGGAUGGAAAAUAUUCAGCAGCCACCUUUCUUAGUGGAUGUCAACUCUGGAAUUGUGUCUCUCAACUUUGAUCCUCAAAAGGGAAUGAAAGGAUACUUUGACUUUAAGGUGGUCGCCAAUGAUACCGGUGGACUUUCUGAUAUGGCUAGAGUUUUCAUCUACUUAUUGCGAGAAGACCAAAGAGUGAGAUUUGUGCUACGACAACAUCCAGUAGAGCUGAGAGAAAAGAUUGAUGUUUUCAGAGAAGUACUGGGUAAUGUGACUGGAGCCAUAGUUAAUGUAGACGAGGUGAAAGUGCAUGAGACCAUGGAUGGCCGAGUGGACAAGACCCGAUCUGACCUCUACCUGCAUUUUGUAGACCGGUCAGACCACUCCAUCAUGGAUGUCAGCCGGGUGUUACGGGUGGUUGACCAGAGCAUAGAACAUCUGGAUUCACUGUUCAAGGAGUUUAACGUUCUGGACACCCAGGCAGCUGAAGCGGUGGCAUUGGUCCAUGCCCGCACUCCUGACAGUGUUGUAUGGCUCUGGUUGGUUGGCACCACUGUGUUCCUGGGUCUCAUGUUGGUAGUGGUCAUCUCAAUCUGCUUGUCACAGCGAGCCUCAUACAAGCGACAACUCAAAGCAGCUACAAUUACUGCAUUUGCAGGAUCAGCAGACUCGGACAUGACACGAGUAACUGGAUCAGGACCAGGACGUUUGCCCAACACCAAUCUUCACAGCACUGAAGGCUCAAACCCUAUCUGGAUGCAGGCCUACGAGAACGAGUGGUACAAGGAGGACGACUCCAUGAGUUUCCUGUUUCAGUCAAACGUCUGAGAGAGACUCGCUAGAUGAAAACGCAGUUGUUAGUGUCCAGACUCAAGAUGGAGGAGCCAAUUCUUCCUGUAACAGUCAAACCAACAUAAUAAAACCAGAACGCCGAACUGUCAAGGAACAAAACGAUCUGAAUAGCAAAAGCGGUGUGUACCAUCAGAACCUCUAUCAGCACCUGGACAAGCUCAGCAACCCUCUCAUAGCAAAAA
rnacentral:misc_RNA from 1 species